UACCUAUCAGAGGGGAAUAACCCGGCGAAAGUCGGACUAAUACCGCAUAAAACAGGGGCACCGCAUGGUGAUAUUUGUUAAAGAAAUUCGCUGAUAGAUGGGCAUGCGUUCCAUUAGGUAGUUGGUGAGGUAACGGCUCACCAAGCCGACGAUGGAUAGGGGAACUGAGAGGUUGGUCCCCCCACACUGGUACUGAGACACGGACCAGACUCCUACGGGAGGCAGCAGUGAGGAAUAUUGGUCAAUGGGCGGGAGCCUGAACCAGCCAAGUCGCGUAGAAGGAAGAAGGAUCUAUGGUUACGUAAACUUCUUUUGCGAGGGGAAUAAAGUGCAGGACGUGUCCUGUUUUGUAUGUACCCUGAGAAUAAGGAUCGGCUAACUCCGUGCCAGCCGCCGC
rnacentral:rRNA from 1 species